UCUCAUUUUUCUUCUCUCUCUUCAUCUCACUCUCUCUCGCUCUCAUCCGAACUCCGGCCACCCUCAAACACCAACCACCACCCUGAGAACCACCUUUUCCCCUAGUUUCCGGUUAAAGUUCAACCAGAAACUUCAAAUGUUCUUCCUAAACCUACCCAUAACACAUGAAACCCUUAGAACCCUAACAAUCUUACACUUACCUAGACGAGCCCUAGGGUUCCCCAUACGAACCCUAACAAUCCCAACCCAGAAACCCUAACAACUCCAAACCCAUAAACCUAGAAACCCUAACCAUAAACGAGGAACCCUAGCCCUAGAUUUUUCCAAAAACCUUCAAUCAUACCCAGAUCGAACCCUAAACUAUAAAUUAACCCUUCCUGAAACAAAAUUAGCCUAUCCUAAACCCAAGUCAAACACAAAAAAACUUUAAAUCUAUAAGUCAACCUCAAACAUAAUUCAUCAACAAAAAGGCGAAGUUCUCUGGUAAAAAAGGUGCUUUUGGCGAUGGUGGUGGAGGCUGAGUUCGAAGGGAUUAGGGUUUCAAUGUCAAACCCUAAUCACUAUUCAUCAGAGCUUUAAAUGGAGGUUGGGAGUUGCAGAAGCAAUCGUAUUUUUAGGGUUUCUUUCUUAUUUUUUUAUCCUUUUUCUUUUAUUUGAUCAUAUAGAUUAAUUUUUAGGUUUAAGCAUUAAUUAGAUUGUUUACUUUAGGAAGUUUUAGUGGUAAUUAGAUUCAUUGCUUAAUUCAAUUAGAAAUUAGGUUUUGAUUUGAUUAUGUAUUUGGUCCGAUUUUACUUGUAAUUUUUAUUUCUCCAUGUAUCUGCAAUCAAAAUUGGAAAGGUUUGAUUAAUUUCUAAUUAUAAAGUUUUGAUA